UACGUAGGAUGCAAGCGUUGUCUGGAUUUACUGGGUGUAAAGGGAGCGCAGGCGGGACUGCAAGUUGGAUGUGAAAUGUCGAGGCUUAACUUCGGAACUGCAUCCAAAACUGCCGUUCUUGAGUGGAGUAGAGGCAAGCGGAAUUCCGAGUGUAGCGGUGAAAUGCGUAGAUAUUCGGAGGAACACCAGUGGCGAAGGCGGCUUGCUGGGCUCUAACUGACGCUGAGACUCGGAAGCGUGGGGAGCAAAC
rnacentral:rRNA from 1 species